AAGUAAAGUCGUACAAGGUUCCGUAGGUGAACCUGCGGAAGGAUCAUUAAAAAUUGGUGACUGUAAUUUAGGUUAACCAUUAAUAAUAUCCUACCCUUUGUGAAUUUGUUUGUUAUGUAAAAUUUUUUGUCUAUCCUAAAGAAAGGUUGGAUAAGUGUAAUAGCUUAAAAAACUUUUUUUAGGGAAUGGCUUAAAGACUUUUAUUUAAAUUAAACUUUUGUAUUCAUUUGUCUAAAUUAAAUUUUAAAUAAAUAAUUUAAAAACAACUUUUGACAAUGGAUCUCUUGUUCUCGCAACGAUGAAGAACGCAGCAAAAUGCGAUAAGUAAUGUGAAUUGCAGAAUACGUGAAUCAUCAAAUCUUCGAACGCAUAUUGCACUUUUUAGUUUACUAAAAAAGUAUGUCUGUUUGAGUAUCAGUAAAAUAUUCUCAUAAAAUCAUUUGAUUUAUGGUUAUGAGUGUUUUACAACGAUAAACAAGUUGUUUCACUUUAAAUGGAUUUUAAUUGAAAUCGUCGGUUGGGAACGAUUUAAUUUUUUUAAAAAAUUGGAUAAAAUUUUCCGUAAAAGGAAUAAAGCUAUUUCAGUUUUUUAGAAAUUUUAAUAGUUCCAUACCGGUACAGUUAAAGGAAAUUUAUUUAUAAAUAACUUGAUCUCAAAUCAGAUAAGAGUACCGCUGAACUUAAGCAUAUCAAUAACGGAGGAAAAGAAACUAACAAGGAUUCCUUAGUAACGGCGAGUGAAGCGGAAGAGCUCAAAUUUGAAAUCUUCAAGGUUCUACCUUGACGAAUUGUAGUUUAAAGAAGUGUUUCUGUUAGAGAGUGGCAAAAGUUCUUUGGAAUAGGACAUCAUAGAGGGUGAGAAUCCGUAUUUGGUCAUUCUUUCUAGCUGUGUGAUACACUUUCAAAGAGUCGGAUUGUUUGGAAUGCAGUCCAAAAUGGGUGGUAAUUUCAUCUAAAGCUAAAUAUUGGCGAGAGACCGAUAGCGAACAAGUACGUGAGGAAAGAUGAAAAGAACUUUGAAAAGAGAGUUAAACAGUACGUGAAAUUGUCAAAAGGAAGCGUUGACACCAGUGUUGUUUUUCCGAAAAUCAAUUGUGCCUGCUGGAUUUUGUAGGAGUUUGCCUUAUCAGCUUCUUCUGCUUUUUUCCGGUCUGGUGCAAUGCACUUUCGGUUAACAAGUCAACAUCAAUUUCUUUGUUGUAAAAGGGUAAUUGGAAGUGGCUUUCUUUUCGGAGAAAGUGUUUAUAGCCUUUACCUCUACAAUCGGAGAGAUUGAGUCUGCAGCGUAGAUCCUUCGGGUUAGAUACAUUUGUGCUAAGUUAUAGCCCUGUAUAGACAACUUGUGACUAUACUCGUC
rnacentral:misc_RNA from 1 species